UUUGUCCAAAAGUUUGAUAAAAUUCUUACAUCUCUAGUGUAGAGAUUUGGUGUAUGGAUUAUAGAAAGAAAAGAGAAGAAAGGGUUCUUUUCAUGAUCUCUAGCAUAAAGAUCAUUAUUCUCCUAUUUCUUCUUCUUCUCUAAGAGCGUCUUGAGAAAAAAAAAAAUUUCAACCAUCAAGAUGCGAUCUCUACAAAGGAGCUAGCACUUCGGUG
rnacentral:lncRNA from 1 species